GCUGCUAGAUUUUUCAUUUUAGAUGUUAAGGAUUCUGGCUGGACAGGCAAUGCUGACUUUUUUGCUGUUAAUCAAUGAAUGACUAAAUGCUGUAGGAGGCUAAUUUAAAUUUAUGACAAACAAGACCACACUGCUGAACAAAAAUCACUAAAAUUAAUUGGACAUGGCUGGUGCGUAAAAGAUAAAUGCUAAAAGGAAUGAGACAAUGCUACAGGAUUAAUACUAAAUCUAAAACAAUCUUGCUGGGUAAAAAUCAAACCUCAAAACGAUUAAGACAACACGGCUCGGGACACUGGAAUUGAUACAAUUGAGAAAUUAAACUCUUUAAAAUUUAAAUAACGUUUCUGACAGUUCUAAAACACAAAUGGAGACACAAUAUAAUCGGUUGAGCUCUGGUAUAAACGGAUUGAAACAGCGGUUUUAAAGUUAUAACCAUUCUGGUCUGGACAUUAUAAAAUCCACACAGAGUGACGCGAAUUUACGUAUGAAAUAACGGCAGCGACAGUAACAACGGAAGUUAAUUCAAAUGUUCAAAGAUGUCAAGAGAAAGAGAGAAAUAGGCAGGACCUUUGGAUCGCGGAUAUGAACUGUUGACCCACGGAUCAAUCAUUUGGUGGCUGGAUUCCUAAACCUUCAAGUCCACAUGUUAAAAUGUCGUUGAGCAAAACAUUUAAACUCCGGUGAUAAUGAUUUUAAAGGUUAGUAAUGCUGCUGGGUGUCAAACCUAAAAUCUCUUAGGAAUGAGAAGAGAUAACGCUUUUCUUGACAAAUUCAUCUCUCUAAGGACGGAGACGACGCUUCUGCGGACAAAUGAAAUCUUUCAAGUAGUAAGAAAUUAAAAUCUUUUAGGACUAACAUGAUGUCAUGGUGGACAAAUUAAAAUGUAGAGGAAUUAAAACAACACGCGGAGUACAAAUUAAAAUCUUUAAGAAUAAAAGAAAAAGACAGAGAUAAAUAUUUGGUUAAGGCUUGGUCCAGUGACUUGGACCACCAUAGACAUAUUCUGAGGACCACCAGGAGCUGCAGUCACCUUUCAGGUUAAGGCAAAAGUAAGUAUCAGUCCCAGACAGAGCAGCUGGCAGUGAGACUGCUUCUUCCAAGAUUCUCUCUGUGCUUCUGUCUCUGUUUUCCUCUCUACUCUCCCAUGUUUCAGGGUGUAGUAGCGGUGCUUCCCCACACGGUGCUCUCUAAUAUAGUAAAUUGUUCUCACCUGUUCCUCCAUUAAUCCACUCUCCCAGUUCUACUCUUUCAGGUUUUAGCUGCUCAUCGCUGGAUUCUUUCAUCGUUGUCCAUGUGGUUCCUGCUUGUAAGUUUUUGCAUUCAACAACACAUAAUACUGCUGGCCUCCUGCUGGCAUUGGCGACCAUCAGCUUUACCAAGUAAACAUAGAAAGAAAUUCACUAUUACUAGAAAGUGUUCCUCCAUAUAGAGUUAAAAUUUACAUUAAGUGAGGAAAGUUUGCCUGGUAAUAUUUUGUAUUAGAGGCCAAAUUAAAGCAGGAAGUCAAUAAAAAAUUAGAAGACAGAAUUUAUGAUUGAGGGAUUUAAUUAAGAGCUUUUAUCCAGAGGGAAACUAGAGAACAGGAUCGAAGGGAUGGAAAUAAAGAGGAUGUGGAGUAAACUUUUAAUCUCAUAAAACAAAUAGUUUAUGUGGCCAUAUUCAUGUGUUGCAACACAGAAAGAUCCCAAAAAGAGAAUAGACUUUAAAAAAUACUGACACUAGUUUCUGAUCCCAGGUCCAGACUGCUCAGAUCUCUGAUGUUCUGAUCAUCCCUGGUUGGAUCUCCUGAGCCUGGAAUCCUCCACCUUCAACACCACCAGUCAGGUGGAGGAAGAUAAGAGAACCCAGUUGACAAAAAAAUCCUUUCAUAACAGCAGAGCUUUGAUGAGCUUUGUGCUGAUGGAAGGAGGAUCAGGAAUAGAGCAGAGGACCUGCUGAUCUACUGGUUCUAGUAGAUUUUAUAAAUGCAUGACUGAGACAAGUCAACAUCACUGGACCAAUGAGGAGAGAGAAGACACAGAGGACUGAGGAGACGCAGGAAAUCCUGCUGGGAAUCCAGAGAAGUUUCCUGAUGCAUCAGGGGGACAGCUGAGGACGGGACACAGAAUAAAGAGACAGAGAUCAUGUGAAAUUCAAGGAUGGCCUUUCAACCCUGGAUGUCAUUUAUGCUUUGGAGCUUCAUGCUUCUGUGUUCAGGCCCUUUAUGUGCACAAGGGUGGAAAAGCUGACAUCAGAAAUGUUAGAGGAAAUCUUUGAAGUUCAGCUCAGCGAAAAGGGCAGCACCAGACGACAAGAAGAAACCAGACUGCUAGGAUUCUCCUUGAGACAGACCAAACCUCGCUUUCCUGUUCAAACACUGUCAAGAUACCAAAGCCCAAGACAUACGAUCAGUUCCACAAAAACAUGGACUUUGGGAUAAAGACUCUUUGGACUUUAUUAAGUUCAAAUACAGAAUCAUAAAACACAAAUGUGGAUGUUGGCCUGUGAAGGCACUUGUGAAACCUGCUCUGUUCAACUAUCACUACCAACUGUUAUGACUAUUGUUGAAAACUGUUGUAAUGCUUAAUUGUAUUUACAUGUAAAUAUUAGAAAUGAACAUUUUUAUGUCAUCAAAAAUUGUUGCAAUAAAAAGUGACAUACUAUUAA